rnacentral:rRNA from 1 species
GUGCGUGAGGUGUUGGGUUAAGUCCCGCAACGAGCGCCAACCCCUACUGCCAGUUACUAACAGGUGAAGCUGAGGACUCUGGGCGGAACUGCCGGUGACAAACCGGAGGAAGGUGGGAUGACGUCAAGUCAUCAUGGCCCUUAUGUCCAGGGCUACACACGUGCUACAAUGGGCGAGACAGAGCGACGCGAAGCCGCGAGGUGGAGCAAAUCGCAGAAAAUCGCCCUCAGUUCGGAUUGGAGUCUGAAACCCGACUCCAUGAAGGUGGAAUCGCUAGUAAUCGCGCAUCAGCAUGGCGCGGUGAAUACGUUCCCGGGCCUU